GGCUCCGUAGUGCAACGGUGGCGCGUCUGACUCCAGAUCAGAAAAUUGCGUGUUCAAAUCACGUCGGGGUCA
rfam:Echinococcus granulosus EG_S00167, whole genome shotgun sequence.